GUUGUGCAGGGCCGGGGCUCCGGCGGGUGUGUGGAGUCGGGGCUGCAGGGCUGGGGUGCAGGGGGAGCGCGGGCAGAGUUGUUCUGGCUUUCACUCAUGCCAGCUCCCAAGAGUGGGGCUGCACGUCCCCGUUUUGCCGAGGAAGACGGGGAAGGAGUGAUUUGCUCGACGCAGGAGGAGAUUCGACUCUGAAACCCUGUGCGCCCUUUUCUUUACCCACCUGCCGAAUAACUUCCAGCCUACCCCUAUUUCCACUCCUAUUCUCUUCAUACAGCCAAUGGAGGACUGCAGAGUGUCAGGUUAACAGUGGGACUCGAUCUUAGGGGUCUUUCCCAACCAAAAUUAUUCUAUUCUAUUCUAUUCUAUUCUAUUCUAUUCUAUUCUAUUCUAUUCUAUUCUAUUCUAUUCUAUUCUAUUCUAUUCUAUUCUAUUCUAUUCUAUUCUAUUCUAUUCUAUUCUAUUCUAUUCUAUUCUAUUCUAUUCUAUUCCAAGUAAGCCAUGGCAGUUCUGGUGGGUAUAUCACUAAACCAUGGUUGCACAUUGCCAUGGAAGAGCAACAAUUUUAAUAUGAUAAAGGACAAAAUUGACACAUAUACCAACUGACACUGAGCCAGUAUCAGGGGAACAUGUUUAAAAAGACUGAGGACUCUUAAUUACACCACUCCAACAAAAGAAGGAAUGUUUUGCAAACAUUUUAUAAAACUACCUUUCAAAUCAACAAAUAUAUUCCACAAGGAGCAUCUUCCUUUUUUCCUCUGUACAUAUUUUCUUUCUUUUUCUUUGUUUGGGCUGGGGGUUAGUAGUUUGGCUUGGAUUUGGUGGGUUGUUUUAAUCCCUCAUGAGAAGGAAUGAGCAAGACACCACAGCACCUACGGUUUCAAAAAUCCUUGGGAGUCCCAACAGUAGAACAGGUCUUUGUGUGACCCCAGUGUUAGCAGAAAGGAAAAGUCAUAAUCAUCCCCAGGUCAGCCUUGAUUUAGCUUACUGUUCUAGUCAGGGAAAGAAAAAGAUGCAGGAGUUUCUUGAAAAGAUAAAGCUUAGGCUUCAACUAUACUAAACAAAGUAGUGUUUUAUUAUGUUGUGGAAGGAAACCAAAUUACGUAAUGUUACCAGCUGUGCUGUACAGGCAUUAGCACUGGAGUGAUCCCUGCAGCGUGUGCAGGGCUGGUGGUUUCUCGUGGUUACCAGUGGCAGACUGGAGAGCUGUUUACACCUGACCGUGGCCCAUGCCAGCAUCACUCCAGCCAGACCAGCAGCAGAACAGGUUGGGAUACUUUGUGAGGAGGAAACCCACCUGGCCAGUCUCCUUUGAGAAGGGCCGUUGCUUUCAGCAGCACAAUGACACACAUUAUUUAUGGCUAUACAAACGCCUCUCCUCCAGCACUGUGCUGCCCAAGAGUAAGAAUUUUUACCUUUUGUUGAGCACUACAUGUUUCAAAUAUAUACAUUCAAAAAAAUAUCCAGUUUUUUUUUUUUAUUACAUCCAAAUCUAAACAAAGAAAAGCAAUUAAAUCCAAAUAUGCUCCAGGGUUCCUACCUGAGAAUCUGAGUUUUGUUUGUUUAUUGUGUUAAGUGGGAUGAAAUAGGCUGAAAGCAUCAGCCUUCUGCAGAAGUGGCUUUUUCAAGUAUGGUGGAGGCAGCCAAAAAGGAGUCGAGGGCAGGCUUUGUGGUGAUCCAGCUGCCUCCAUCAAUGUGUAUCUCUGAGUGGCAACUUUUCUUCCCCGGUGCUGAUACAAGAUUAUUUAACUUGUUACCUGGCCAUUACAGAGUCUAUACUGCUGGUGUUUACACCACUUUCCACAUUUUUCCUUUCAGGAAGUUGUAUAAAAGGACCUAAAGAGAAGUGGUUGAACAAUUGCAUUGUGACUGAAUUUUCUUGGCUUUCCAUGACAAGCCCAGGGUUUCAGCUGUUGGGUGCUUUGAAAGGAAAAGUAAUCACUUGGGGUUGGAUGUCAUCCAGCAGAAGUGGAAAUGGCUGAAUUCAGCAGACACUCAGGGUGGUGUCCUUGGUCUUGGCUCCUGUGGUGGGCAAUUGGGGUCUCCAGGGCCAGGCAGGGCCAUCCCAUCAGCUGGGGCAAGGUGCAGACAAGGGUGAGUGCUGUAGGAGCAUUGACAUGGGGACAUGCAUGGGGCCAUGGCACCCUCCUAUGGAAAGCCCAUUUGUUUCCCUUGGGCCGAUCUUGAGAGGAGACAUUUCUUAUUUAUGCAAAGUGUCAGAGCUCAGACUCCAGGAGGGAAAUCACAAGCAUAUAAAUUUGCACAAUAAUUUUGAUGAAGCACUGAAAUUGCAAUGAAAAAGAAACAAGUCGGAACUUCUAACUAGUUGGUCAUUAUUCAUAGAUCCUUUUAGGUUUAUAGGUAAGAGAUUGUGACUUGGGAAAGUUCCAGACUCCAAGAAGAGCAGGAUACUAUUUGCAUUUUGUAUGCAGUGAUUAAUCAGCAUGAUCAGAAAGAAGUGUAUUUUUACUUAACAGUACAUGUGUAGCAGUCAAAUCCUACUGGCAACUGUGGAUCACCUUAUGGUAUUGAUACCUGAGUGAAACCUCUGAAGGACCACAUAGAAUUGACCUUGCUUAGGUAAAAAUAUUUUUCCCAGCCCUCUCACAGCAAAAUAUGUAUCUACAUUUGCAGAGAUUUAGCCCAAAGCCAGGUCUAUACUAGAAAACAUUCACAGCAUCUCAACUUUAGGAAAGGGACAAGGCACUAAAAAUAUUUAGGGAAAGGAAAAAGCUCUUGUGCAGAGACACAAGACUUAAAGCACCUAAAAUGAUGUGUAUGUCUCCUGCACAGCUUAGCAAAAGCAAGAGGACUGUGUCUGUGAAUGAACAGGUCAGCUUCUCAUCUGUCUGAGAGAGUGGGGCAGUGGGAAUUUGGCCAAUGUAACAAAAAAAGUAAAAAGAGGAGGCAUUCAAAGAAAAACAACUAAAAUAAUCAGCUGUCUGGAGGGACUGGGUUAUAAGAGGAGAUUACAGAAGUGCUCACUCAGUUUGAGAAACAACAGCAAGAGAUGGCCCAAACAGCUGCCCAUGAUAAUUUGAAAGGCAGAAGCACCAGGGAAGUUGAAGUGGAGAGAAAAGCAGGGUAAAGAGGAUAUAACUGAGUAAUGUAAUAGAAAUAAGAACAGCAGCUGAAACACGUAUCGGGGAAAGCUUCCAGGGGAUGAGCAGCAUUAGACUUCAGAGGAGGCUCUCAAAGGAAAUGGUGGAAUCCCCAUAAUUUGAAACAUUAAAGCCAGAGUAGACAAAGCAAUCAUGAAUAUGCUGUAGGAAAUAAUCCUACUGUGGGAUGGGAUGAAUGUGCUUGUCUGGCAUUGCUUAUGCAAAGAUGUACUACUUUUCUUUUUUUUUCCUGUUGAGGUCAAUUUAUUUUCCCCCUUCACCUCUCCACUUCCAUCUAUUUGCAUCUGUCUGCUCAUGUCUCACAAACAGAUCAUGAAAUGCAUUAUUCUGUUGCUGUAUCUACCACAUAUGUGUCUGGAUGGCUCCCUGAUGUCGACUGUAAAUAGCAAAAGAAUUCAUUAGUUAGAUAAAUUAAUCAAGUUUCCCAUGAAUGGCAUGCAAAGAAGAAGGGGACAUAGAAGAGACAGA